rnacentral:lncRNA from 1 species
CAUUCAUAUCCAUUUUCUCAUUCAUUCAUAAUUCAAAGAAAUUUCACAUACAAUAUUUCAAUUCUAAUUACAUACAUUUUAAACCAUAACUUUAAGUCACCAUCCAAAUACUGUAAACAAAAACGAAUAACAGGAUGAUGUAGGUAAUGUAACAUGCAACAGUAGCCCACGAACUCACUCCAAAACUACCAAAAACUAAUUCCAAAUAAUAUGCCAAAUCAUCCCCAUGACCAAACCAUGCUUUGCUCCAUGAUGCAACAGUAGCCCACGAACUCACUCCAAAACUACCAAAAACUAAUUCCAAAUAAUAUGCCAAAUCAUCCCCAUGACCAAACCAUGCUUUGCUCCAUGAUAACCAUUAUCUGUUGAAGCCAACAAACCAUGCGUCCCGCAGCCAUGUGAACAAAGUCAGUGCAAUCAUCAUCAUAACCUUAUUUCCACAUGAUAUUGCAUAGUAUAUCAUCCAACUUACAGUGGCGAAAUGCUGCAGCAU